rnacentral:lncRNA from 1 species
GUGACAUGGGGUGUUUUCCUGUAGAAGAAUCUGGCAUGGCUUACUUUUGUUUCUCUUUGAUACAUCCAGAUGCCUGACCUGGAAAUUGUUGGAAGACUUUUUAAAAUCCAAAGGCCAAAGAUAUUUAUGGAUUGAGUGGGGAAAAAAAACAACAACGCAGUACUUCUGACUUGUCCCUUAAUUGAACAUAGCGCUCUGCCAGCAAACCGAUGCUUUUCCCACAUCCUGAUGGCUCCCUGUAACGUAAGUGUUUGACAAG